rnacentral:misc_RNA from 1 species
UCUCCCACUGCCUCACCACUUCCGGUUAGAGCUACAGCUGAUGACAAGACGCCUUUGGACCAGCAAAAGGAGUCGAAUGCUGAGCAGAUUUCUCUGACCGCCAUCAGCUACCAGAGUAACCUAGAGCUCCCACCCCCAGGAGGCGUGGCCCAUGUUGGGGAGGGGAUCAACUUUUACCUUCGCCUUGGAGCUCUUGCUUUUGCAUUCGGAAGCGUUACUCUAGACGGACUUCAUAUCGCUACCUACUUUGAGACUAUUACGACAGAAACGUGUGAAAGCGAGAUUUUCAUUCUGGUCUACGUCAUGCAUCUUCUGUUUACAUUUGUGCAGACUUUCUUCAUUUUCAAGAACCACAAGCUUGUUAUAAAUAAACAGAAACCUUUUGUGCGUUUCGGAAUGAUGCAUCUGAUGGCAACCAAUAUCUGUGUGCUCAUUGUAACGGCAGUGAUGGAAACCAAUGAAGAUUACCGACUGCAAAGUUAUAUUGUCAACAAUGUGACUCUCGAAGGAACUAAGAGCUGCUAUGAGGAGGUCACUCUGGCGAGGUCGGCUUCGCCUUACUUAUUCCCUUGCACCAUCAUCUACAGCAUCAUCGGGGCAGGCAUCAUUUAUCGUCUGUAUCAGUACAUUGGGGUCCGCAUCAAGCAGAGGUGGCCAAGCCACACUUCCUUCACAAGUUCGGCUCCCACGGGUGCUUCCGCUAUCGACUGCGACAAAGCUAACAAAGGCCUCUUCCUUGGUCUGCUUGUCGCCGUCUUCACGCUUAUUGCUAUCGCCACAUUUUUUGUCUUUGAGAGUCGGCUUCAGGACAUGUUCACGGCUGUGAAGGUUCUGUUCACCACGGAAAUCGUUCUCAUGAUCAUCACCGGCCUCGGCAUAGCCUGGGGGUACAUCCGCCUGUCCAAACUCAAGUUCAUAACGUCACAGUUCCUGUCCGUGGACUCGGUUCUGCUGCUCGUCGCACUUGCAGGUUCCUACAUUUACCUGUGCUUCAAGCUUAUUGCUGUCUCAACCUCUCUGCAAGGAAAUGUUGCAGGGAUCCUGUCACUCAUCACCACCAUCUUCUCCAUUUGCCAAAUUACCGAACAAACAGUGUUUAUACUGGAUGGCUUGUGCAGAUGUGCCGAAAAUGACAAUCAAAUGAUGCAAAAGCCAGGAAGGGCUGUAGUCACGUUCCUUCUCGUCUGCAAUCUCGCUCUCUGGGUCGUAAGCAUGUUUGAAGUGAAGAAAACGAGGGUUGUUCGAUUACACGAAGAAUUUUACGGAAUUCUUGCUUGGAAUAUUAUUACACAUCUUUGUGUUCCCCUAAUUAUUUUCUUCCGUUUUCAUUCAGCAAUCUGUCUGUCGAAAAUGUGGUACAAUGCAUACCAGAAAGAGAAAACUACUUAAAUGAAAAGCAGACCAAUGGUUUUUACACAGGAGGGCAGCAAUUGCAAACAAUGCAAAUUCCACAAAUAGGGGCACAGGUUUAACAGUGGAUACUGUACAAUAAGACAAGAUUAAACAAGCAGGGAAACUUUCAUUUUAAUGGUGAAAAUGGAGUCGCUCUCGAAUACACGCACUUAGAUUCAUUUGACAAGUUUGAAAAAAAAAAGCAUUAAACUGUGAGAAUGACAGAAUGUCACGGAGUUCGAUGUCAUUGGAAUUGACUCUUGGGAGGACACUACAUGGACCAUUAUGAGAAUCGUAUAUAUAAUUCAUAGAGUACACGAUGUGACCUUAAUUAGACGAUAGCCGUAUAUUUAUCAUAGUGUACAUAGCUCUGCAUGAUGACAUAGCAUACCGUAGACAGAUAAUGUAAAGCACAUUACACCAAUUGUACAAAUUACCCCAACUCGGCGCGCCGAUUGUUGCCUGCAAAUAUAAACAUACAAGCAGUUGGAAUCCACAAUAUACUCGGUUUGAGAUAAUGGCGCAUAAUUACAGUCUCAUCAAAUGAUGACGAACCCAUUUUCUACUUUUUUGUACUUUAUUUAUACUGUAUUGUAUCAUAUACAGAAUAAAAUAUCCUUAAACCAG